rnacentral:rRNA from 1 species
AUUGAACGCUGGCGGCAGGCUUAACACAUGCAAGUCGAGCGAGCGGCGGACGGGUGAGUAAUGUCUGGGAAACUGCCCGAUGGAGGGGGAUAACUACUGGAAACGGUAGCUAAUACCGCAUACCAUCGGAUGUGCCCAGAUGGGAUUAGCUAGUAGGUGGGGUAACGGCUCACCUAGGCGACGAUCCCUAGCUGGUCUGAGAGGAUGACCAGCCACCCUGGAACUGAGCCACGGUCCAGACUCCUCCGGGAGGCAGCCGUGGGGAAUAUUGCACAAUGGGCGCAAGCCUGAUGCAGCCAUGCCGCGUGUAUGAAGAAGGCCUUAGGGUUGUAAAGUACUUUCAGCGGGGAGGCGUUACCCGCAGAAGAAGCACCGGCUAACUCCGUGCCAGCAGCCGCGGUAAUAC